rnacentral:rRNA from 1 species
CGGUAGCUAAUACCGCAUAACGUCGCAAGACCAAAGUGGGGGACCUUCGGGCCUCACACCAUCGGAUGUGCCCAGAUGGGAUUAGCUAGUAGGUGGGGUAAUGGCUCACCUAGGCGACGAUCCCUAGCUGGUCUGAGAGGAUGACCAGCCACACUGGAACUGAGACACGGUCCAGACUCCUACGGGAGGCAGCAGUGGGGAAUAUUGCACAAUGGGCGCAAGCCUGAUGCAGCCAUGCCGCGUGUAUGAAGAAGGCCUUCGGGUUGUAAAGUACUUUCAGCGAGGAGGAAGGCAUUAAGGUUAAUAACCUUGGUGAUUGACGUUACUCGCAGAAGAAGCACCGGCUAACUCCGUGCCAGCAGCCGCGGUAAUACGGAGGGUGCAAGCGUUAAUCGGAAUUACUGGGCGUAAAGCGCACGCAGGCGGUCUGUCAAGUCGGAUGUGAAAUCCCCGGGCUCAACCUGGGAACUGCAUUCGAAACUGGCAGGCUAGAGUCUUGUAGAGGGGGGUAGAAUUCCAGGUGUAGCGGUGAAAUGCGUAGAGAUCUGGAGGAAUACCGGUGGCGAAGGCGGCCCCCUGGACAAAGACUGACGCUCAGGUGCGAAAGCGUGGGGAGCA